rnacentral:rRNA from 1 species
GACGAACGCUGGCGGCGUGCCUAAUACAUGCAAGUAGGACGCAGUUGCGAACGGGUGAGUAACGCGUCGGUAACUGCCUAUUAGUGGGGGAUAACUACUGGAAACGAUAGCUAAUACCGCAUACUAGUAGAUGGACCUGCGUUGUAUUAGCUAGUAGGUGGGGUAAUGGCCUACCUAGGCGACGAUACAUAGCCGACCUGAGGGGGUGAACGGCCACACUGGGACUGGGACACGGGCCAGACUCCUACCGGAGGCAGCAGUAGGGAAUCUUCGGCAAUUGGGGGAACGCUUACCGCGCAACGCCGCGUGGUUGAAGAAGGUUUUCGGGUCGUGAAGCUCUGUUGUUAAGGAAGCGGUACUUAACCAGAAAGGAACGGCUAACUACGUGCCAGCAGCCGCGGUAAUAC